rnacentral:rRNA from 1 species
GUUGUAUGGUUAAGUGACUAAGCGUACACGGUGGAUGCCUUGGCAGUCAGAGGCGAUGAAAGACGUAGUAACUUGCGAUAAGCCCAGAUUAGGUAGUAACAACCAUUUGAGUCUGGGAUUUCUGAAUGGGGAAACCCACUUACAUAAGUAAGUAUCGCUGCGUGAAUACAUAGCGCAGCGAGGCGAACCGGGGGAACUGAAACAUCUAAGUACCCCGAGGAAAAGAAAUCAACCGAGAUUCCGAAAGUAGCGGCGAGCGAAAUUGGACUAGCCCUUAAGCUUUACACGCGUUAGACGAACGGUCUGGAAAGUCCGACGAUACAGGGUGAUAGUCCCGUAGUUGACGACGUGUGUUCAGUGAAAUCGAGUAGGGCGGGACACGUGAUAUCCUGUCUGAAUAUGGGGGGACCAUCCUCCAAGGCUAAAUACUACUGACUGACCGAUAGUGAACCAGUACCGUGAGGGAAAGGCGAAAAGAACCCCUGUGAGGGGAGUGAAAUAGAACCUGAAACCGUGUACGUACAAGCAGUAGGAGCACCUUCGUGGUGUGACUGCGUACCUUUUGUAUAAUGGGUCAGCGACUUAUAUUCAGUGGCAAGGUUAACCAUCUAGGGGAGCCGUAGGGAAACCGAGUCUUAACUGGGCGUUCAGUCUCUGGAUAUAGACCCGAAACCAGGUGAUCUAGCCAUGGGCAGGUUGAAGGUUGAGUAACAUCAACUGGAGGACCGAACCGACUAAUGUUGAAAAAUUAGCGGAUGACUUGUGGCUAGGGGUGAAAGGCCAAUCAAACCUGGAGAUAGCUGGUUCUCCCCGAAAGCUAUUUAGGUAGCGCCUCGGACGAAUACUACUGGGGGUAGAGCACUGUUAAGGCUAGGGGGUCAUCCCGACUUACCAACCCUUUGCAAACUCCGAAUACCAGUAAGUACUAUCCGGGAGACACACGGCGGGUGCUAACGUCCGUCGUGGAGAGGGAAACAACCCAGACCGCCAGCUAAGGUCCCAAAUUACUACUAAGUGGGAAACGAUGUGGGAAGGCUCAGACAGCCAGGAUGUUGGCUUAGAAGCAGCCAUCAUUUAAAGAAAGCGUAAUAGCUCACUGGUCGAGUCGGCCUGCGCGGAAGAUGUAACGGGGCUAAGUAGUAAACCGAAGCUGCGGCAAUACUCUUUGAGUAUUGGGUAGGGGAGCGUUCUGUAAGCGGUUGAAGGUGUGUGGUAACGCAUGCUGGACGUAUCAGAAGUGCGAAUGCUGACAUGAGUAACGAUAAAGGGGGUGAAAAACCUCCUCGCCGGAAGACCAAGGGUUCCUGUCCAACGUUAAUCGGGGCAGGGUAAGUCGACCCCUAAGGCGAGGCCGAAAGGCGUAGUCGAUGGGAAACGGGUUAAUAUUCCCGUACUUCUUACAAUUGCGAUGGGGGGACGGAGAAGGCUAGGUGGGCCUGGCGACGGUUGUCCAGGUUCAAGUGCGUAGGCUUAAGAGUUAGGUAAAUCCGGCUCUUUCUAAGGCUGAGACACGACGUCGAGCACCUACGGGUGUGAAGUCAUUGAUGCCAUGCUUCCAGGAAAAGCCUCUAAGCUUCAGAUUGUAAGGAAUCGUACCCCAAACCGACACAGGUGGUCGGGUAGAGAAUACCAAGGCGCUUGAGAGAACUCGGGUGAAGGAACUAGGCAAAAUGGUACCGUAACUUCGGGAGAAGGUACGCUCUUGAUGGUGAAGUCCCUCGCGGAUGGAGCUGACGAGAGUCGCAGAUACCAGGUGGCUGCAACUGUUUAUUAAAAACACAGCACUGUGCAAAAUCGUAAGAUGACGUAUACGGUGUGACGCCUGCCCGGUGCCGGAAGGUUAAUUGAUGGGGUUAGACUUCGGUCGAAGCUCUUGAUCGAAGCCCCGGUAAACGGCGGCCGUAACUAUAACGGUCCUAAGGUAGCGAAAUUCCUUGUCGGGUAAGUUCCGACCUGCACGAAUGGCGUAAUGAUGGCCACGCUGUCUCCACCCGAGACUCAGUGAAAUUGAAAUCGCUGUGAAGAUGCAGUGUACCCGCGGCUAGACGGAAAGACCCCGUGAACCUUUACUACAGCUUGGCACUGAACAUUGACCCUACAUGUGUAGGAUAGGUGGGAGGCUUUGAAGCACGUACGCCAGUAUGUGUGGAGCCGUCCUUGAAAUACCACCCUUGUAGUGUUGAUGUUCUAACGUCGACCCCUAAUCGGGGUUGCGGACAGUGCCUGGUGGGUAGUUUGACUGGGGCGGUCUCCUCCCAAAGAGUAACGGAGGAGCACGAAGGUGGGCUAAUCACGGUUGGACAUCGUGAGGUUAGUGCAAUGGCAUAAGCCCGCUUGACUGCGAGAAUGACAAUUCGAGCAGGUGCGAAAGCAGGUCAUAGUGAUCCGGUGGUUCUGAAUGGAAGGGCCAUCGCUCAACGGAUAAAAGGUACUCCGGGGAUAACAGGCUGAUACCGCCCAAGAGUUCAUAUCGACGGCGGUGUUUGGCACCUCGAUGUCGGCUCAUCACAUCCUGGGGCUGAAGUCGGUCCCAAGGGUAUGGCUGUUCGCCAUUUAAAGUGGUACGCGAGCUGGGUUUAGAACGUCGUGAGACAGUUCGGUCCCUAUCUGCCGUGGGCGUUGGAAGAUUGAAGGGGGCUGCUCCUAGUACGAGAGGACCGGAGUGGACGAACCUCUGGUGUUCGGGUUGUGUCGCCAGACGCAUUGCCCGGUAGCUAAGUUCGGAAUCGAUAACCGCUGAAAGCAUCUAAGCGGGAAGCGAGCCCUGAGAUGAGUCUUCCCUGAUACUUUAAGUAUCCUAAAGGGUUGUCGGAGACUACGACGUUGAUAGGUCAGGUGUGUAAGUGCUGUGAGGCAUUGAGCUAACUGAUACUAAUUGCCCGUGAGGCUUAACCAUACAACACCCAAGGGGUUU